CCAAUCAAAUUCCGUGAUAGCUGGUUCUCUCCGAAAUGCAUUUAGGUGCAGCGUCGGGGAUUACGUCCGGGGGGUAGAGCUACUGGAUGCUUGAGGGCCCGUAUCGGGUACCGACAGCAGCCAAACUCCGAAUACCCGUGACGCGUAUCCCGGCAGUGAGUCGGCGGGGGAUAAGCUCCGUCGUCGAAAGGGAGACAGCCCAGAUCGUCGUCUAAGGUCCCCAAGCGCGUGCUAAGUGGGAAAGGAUGUGGAGUCGCAUAGACAGCCAGGAGGUUGGCUCAGAAGCAGCCACCCUUGAAAGAGUGCGUAACAGCUCACUGGUCUAGUGGUUCCGCGCCGACAAUGUAGCGGGGCUCAAGCACGCCACCGAAGACGCGGCAGCGUCCGUUUGGAUGCUGGGUAGGAGAGCGUCCCCAUCGGGGCGAAGCGGCGGCGCAAGCCUGCCGUGGACCGUUGGGGAGUGAGAAUGCAGACAUGAGUAGCGAGAGGCGGGUGCGAAUCCCGCCCGCUGGAUGACCAAGGGUUCCGGGGCCACGUUCGUCGUCCCCGGGUGAGUCGGGUCCUAAGGCGAGGCCGACAGGCGUAGUCGAAUGGAUGAACGGGCUGAUAUUCCCGUACCGGCAGUGAACCGAAACAACCGAGGCCUGGGGCGCUAACCUCCGGGUCCGUGCCGUCUCCCCUUUCGGGGGGUCGCGGCGCGGGCGCGUUGGGAUCCCCCCUCGUAGUAGGUCAGCGCAGGAGUGACGUAUCAGGGCAGCCGGCCGCGGAGGUGGUUUUCCGUGGUCAAGCGUUCGAGCCCGUCCCGCAGGCAAAUCCGCGGGGCGUCGGGGCGAGGCGUGAUGAUGGGGGCCUUACGGCCCGAAUCCGGUGAUCCGUGGUGCCGAGAAAAGCUUCGGCGUCAGGCGCGUUGCCGCCCGUACCCCAAACCGACACUGGUGGUCAGGUAGAGAAUACCAAAGCGAUCGAGCGAAUCCUGGUCAAGGAACUCGGCAAAUUGCUCCCGUGCCUUCGGCAUAAGGGAGACCCCCUGCGGUGAUGAGCGGCGGGGGGUGGCACAGGCCAGGGGGUAGCGACUGUUUACCAAAAACACAGGAGCGUGCGAAGGCGCAAGCCGCUGUAUACGCUCUGACGCCUGCCCGGUGCCGGAAGGUUAAGAGGAUCCGUCAGCUUUCUGCGAAGCGGUGAAUUCAAGCCCCGGUAAACGGCGGUGGUAACUAUAACCAUCCUAAGGUAGCGAAAUUCCUUGUCGGGUAAGUUCCGACCUGCACGAAUGGCGUAACGACUUCCCCACUGUCUCGACCAGGAGCUCGGCGAAAUUGCAGUACGAGUAAAGAUGCUCGUUAAGCGCAGAAGGACGAAGAGACCCCGGGACCUUUACUAUACCUUGGUAUUGGCAUUAGGCGCGGAUUGUGUAGCAUAGGCGGGAGGCUUCGAGGCGGGUGCGCCAGCAUCCGCGGAGCCGCAAGGUGAAAUACCGCUCUGUUCUCGUUUGAUGUCUAACCUCGAACAGUCAUCCUGUUCAGGGACAGUGCCUGGCGGGUAGUUCAACUGGGGCGGUUGCCUCCCAAAGAGUAACGGAGGCGCUCAAAGGUCCGCUCGGCCCGGUUGGCAAUCGGGUGUCGAGUGUAAUCGCACAAGCGGGCUUGACUGCGAGAUCGACGGAUCGAGCAGGGACGAAAGUCGGAGAUAGUGAUCCGGUGCCGGCGCACGGGCGCGGCAUCGCUCAACGGAUAAAAGGUACCCCGGGGAUAACAG
rnacentral:rRNA from 1 species